ACGGGUGCGUAACGCGUAUGCAACCUACCUUAAUCAGGGGGAUAGCCCGGAGAAAUCCGGAUUAACACCGCAUAAAAACACAGGAUAGCAUUAUCCAAUGUUCAAAUAUUUAUAGGAUUAAGAUGGGCAUGCGUGUCAUUAGCUAGUUGGCGGGGUAACGGCCCACCAAGGCGACGAUGACUAGGGGAUCUGAGAGGAUGACCCCCCACACUGGUACUGAGACACGGACCAGACUCCUACGGGAGGCAGCAGUAAGGAAUAUUGGUCAAUGGGGGCAACCCUGAACCAGCCAUGCCGCGUGCAGGAAGACUGCCCUAUGGGUUGUAAACUGCUUUUAUCCGGGAAUAAACCACAUUACGUGUAGUGUGCUGAAUGUACCGGAAGAAUAAGGAUCGGCUAACUCCGUGCCAGCAGCCGCGGUAAUACGGAGGAUCCAAGCGUUAUCCGGAUUUAUUGGGUUUAAAGGGUGCGUAGGCGGCCUGUUAAGUCAGGGGUGAAAGACGGUAGCUCAACUAUCGCAGUGCCCUUGAUACUGAUGGGCUUGAAUGGACUAGAGGUAGGCGGAAUGAGACAAGUAGCGGUGAA
rnacentral:rRNA from 1 species